rnacentral:pre_miRNA from 1 species
AAAAAAUUUGGACCGUCGGUCUACCGAGCAAUAUCACCCGCCCGGUGGAAGAUCUUUCCUUUCGU